rnacentral:rRNA from 1 species
GAAACGAUGUGGGAAGGCCCAGACAGCCAGGAUGUUGGCUUAGAAGCAGCCAUCAUUUAAAGAAAGCGUAAUAGCUCACUGGUCGAGUCGGCCUGCGCGGAAGAUGUAACGGGGCUAAACCAUGCACCGAAGCUGCGGCAGCGACACUAUGUGUUGUUGGGUAGGGGAGCGUUCUGUAAGCCUGUGAAGGUGUGCUGUGAGGCAUGCUGGAGGUAUCAGAAGUGCGAAUGCUGACAUAAGUAACGAUAAAGCGGGUGAAAAGCCCGCUCGCCGGAAGACCAAGGGUUCCUGUCCAACGUUAAUCGGGGCAGGGUGAGUCGACCCCUAAGGCGAGGCCGAAAGGCGUAGUCGAUGGGAAACAGGUUAAUAUUCCUGUACUUGGUGUUACUGCGAAGGGGGGACGGAGAAGGCUAUGUUGGCCGGGCGACGGUUGUCCCGGUUUAAGCGUGUAGGCUGGUUUUCCAGGCAAAUCCGGAAAAUCAAGGCUGAGGCGUGAUGACGAGGCACUACGGUGCUGAAGCAACAAAUGCCCUGCUUCCAGGAAAAGCCUCUAAGCAUCAGGUAACAUCAAAUCGUACCCCAAACCGACACAGGUGGUCAGGUAGAGAAUACCAAGGCGCUUGAGAGAACUCGGGUGAAGGAACUAGGCAAAAUGGUGCCGUAACUUCGGGAGAAGGCACGCUGAUAUGUAGGUGAAGCGACUUGCUCGUGGAGCUGAAAUCAGUCGAAGAUACCAGCUGGCUGCAACUGUUUAUUAAAAACACAGCACUGUGCAAACACGAAAGUGGACGUAUACGGUGUGACGCCUGCCCGGUGCCGGAAGGUUAAUUGAUGGGGUUAGCGGUAACGCGAAGCUCUUGAUCGAAGCCCCGGUAAACGGCGGCCGUAACUAUAACGGUCCUAAGGUAGCGAAAUUCCUUGUCGGGUAAGUUCCGACCUGCACGAAUGGCGUAAUGAUGGCCAGGCUGUCUCCACCCGAGACUCAGUGAAAUUGAACUCGCUGUGAAGAUGCAGUGUACCCGCGGCAAGACGGAAAGACCCCGUGAACCUUUACUAUAGCUUGACACUGAACAUUGAGCCUUGAUGUGUAGGAUAGGUGGGAGGCUUUGAAGUGUGGACGCCAGUCUGCAUGGAGCCGGCCUUGAAAUACCACCCUUUAAUGUUUGAUGUUCUAACGUUGGCCCCUGAUCGGGGUUGCGGACAGUGUCUGGUGGGUAGUUUGACUGGGGCGGUCUCCUCCUAAAGAGUAACGGAGGAGCACGAAGGUUGGCUAAUCCUGGUCGGACAUCAGGAGGUUAGUGCAAUGGCAUAAGCCAGCUUGACUGCGAGCGUGACGGCGCGAGCAGGUGCGAAAGCAGGUCAUAGUGAUCCGGUGGUUCUGAAUGGAAGGGCCAUCGCUCAACGGAUAAAAGGUACUCCGGGGAUAACAGGCUGAUACCGCCCAAGAGUUCAUAUCGACGGCGGUGUUUGGCACCUCGAUGUCGGCUCAUCACAUCCUGGGGCUGAAGUAGGUCCCAAGGGUAUGGCUGUUCGCCAUUUAAAGUGGUACGCGAGCUGGGUUUAGAACGUCGUGAGACAGUUCGGUCCCUAUCUGCCGUGGGCGCUGGAGAACUGAGGGGGGCUGCUCCUAGUACGAGAGGACCGGAGUGGACGCAUCACUGGUGUUCGGGUUGUCAUGCCAAUGGCACUGCCCGGUAGCUAAAUGCGGAAGAGAUAAGUGCUGAAAGCAUCUAAGCACGAAACUUGCCCCGAGAUGAGUUCUCCCUGAGACUUUAAGUCUCCUGAAGGAACGUUGAAGACGACGACGUUGAUAGGCCGGGUGUGUAAGCGCAGCGAUGCGUUGAGCUAACCGGUACUAAUGAACCGUGAGG